AACGCGAAGAACCUUACCUGGGCUCGAAGCACAGUGGACCGGGGUAGAAAUAUCCCUUUUCGCAAGAACUGCUGUGGAGGUGCUGCAUGGCUGUCGUCAGCUCGUGUCGUGAGAUGUUGGGUUAAGUCCCGCAACGAGCGCAACCCUUAUCGUUAGUUGCCAGCGGGUCAAGCCGGGCACUCUAGCGAAACCGCCCCGGAUAACGGGGAGGAAGGUGGGGAUGACGUCAAGUCCUCAUGGCCUUUAUGUCCAGGGCUACACACGUGCUACAAUGGUCGGUACAAACCGUCGCAAACCUGCGAAGGGGAGCUAAUCGGAAAAAGCCGGCCUCAGUUCGGAUUGGAGUCUGCAACUCGACUCCAUGAAGCUGGAAUCGCUAGUAAUCGCGGAUCAGCACGCCGCGGUGAAUACGUUCCCGGGCCUUGUACACACCGACGCAC
rnacentral:rRNA from 1 species